rnacentral:rRNA from 1 species
UACGUAGGGGGCGAGCGUUAUCCGGAAUUACUGGGCGUAAAGGGUGCGUAGGCGGCUUUUUAAGUCAGAUGUGAAAGAGUACGGCUUAACCGUAUUUAGCAUAUGAAACUAAGAAGCUUGAGUGCAGGAGAGGAGAGUGGAAUUCCUAGUGUAGCGGUGAAAUGCGUAGAUAUUAGGAGGAACACCAGUGGCGAAGGCGACUCUCUGGACUGCAACUGACGCUGAGGCACGAAAGCGUGGGUAGCGAACAGGAUUAGAUACCCUGGUAGUCCACGCCGUAAACGAUGAGUGCUAGGUGUUGGGGGAGACAUCCUUCAGUGCCGCAGCUAACGCAUUAAGCACUCCGCCUGGGGAGUACGGUCGCAAGACUGAA